rnacentral:rRNA from 1 species
GAUAAGGUUAAGUGAAUAAGGGCGCACGGUGGAUGCCUUGGCACUAGGAGCCGAUGAAGGACGGGACUAACACCGAUAUGCUUUGGGGAGCUGUACGUAAGCUAUGAUCCAGAGAUUUCCGAAUGGGGGAACCCAGCAUCUUUAAUAGGAUGUUACGAUUGUGUGAAUACAUAGCACAUUCGAGGUAGACGCAGAGAACUGAAACAUCUAAGUACCUGCAGGAAGAGAAAGAAAAUUCGAUUCCCUGAGUAGCGGCGAGCGAAACGGGAAAAGCCCAAACCAACAAGCUU